ACGAACAAAUGAUACCAAAGAAGAACGUUAGUAGGGUCGCCAGCGAGCUAAUGUCAACUUUAUAAAGUUUAGCUACAUAGCGUGCUAGUACCCUACGCUUUUAUCUAAAUAGCUAUACUUUUUUUUUAUUGAUAAACUGUCAAGCUACGUUGUUGUUAAAGAUAAUGUCAAAUUGCUGCUGACAACUUCGUGAUAGUUGACCAACUUAUUUGGCUAUCAGCUUUACUCCAGCUAACUUUAGCUACUAGCUAGGUCGCUUGCAUUCUAACUGACAAGCUAGCUAGCAAAGCUACUCGCUAAUUUAGCUGGCCAAAUAUCUCUGCCCUGCAAGUUACUCCUCAGCUGCCAGUGCUACCAUGGCCUCUUCGGGGUUUCGGGGAGACGUUUCCCAGGUGCGUGGUGGCCGUGACCCCAUCUUCUCUGAGGCCAUCAACCAGAAGAUGCGUGUCCCUGACCGGCUGAGAGUGGGGCCAGGCAUGGGACAGAGAUGGGAAGAGGAGAGGCAGGAGUGUGCUGACUGUCCCGCUUCUUACAGCAUGCACAUCCCAGACAGGCUGUCUCUCACAGAUGCCCCGGACAUGAGCCCCCAUCCACUGUUCACGUCAUCCAAGCAAGGCUCAGCCCUCCCUCUGGGGCCUGCAUGGGAGGCACAGCAGCACAGUGCCUGGAACAGAGAAAGAGACCCCUACAUGAGGGAACCAGUGCAGAGUCCACUGCGUAGGUCCUACAGUGACCAGGCUUUUGGCAGGAGCAACCCUGGCACCCCCACCUGCAAACAGACACCGCACACCCCUAUCUCUUGCGGCGGUUCAGGAUGCCCCCCUCAGCGCUCCUCUACUGCUGCUGUAGACACCAUGCCCAUUCCCCUGGUGCUCCCUGCCACCCUACCCAGCCUCCUGUCCCCACAGACUAUGCCAAGGAACUGGGCCAGCAGGCCUCACAGUGCCUUCUGCAGACUGUCACUCAGAAAUACAGGUUCAGCUAUCCUGAACACCCAACUACCGCUGUGGUUGAGGAGCCCCCUGUGUAUGUCGAACCAGCCAGGAAAAGUGCCAUGCGGGACUCCUGGAUGAGCCCAGAUGAGGGAAGUGCAGCUGUUGAGUUCAUCGUACUUAGGAGACAGGUGGUGAAGAUGAGUCGUCGUCUGGCGGGUCUGGAGAAGCAGAACGCUGAACGCAGACAGACUGAGCUGGUGCUCUUCUCCCUGCUCCUUUCUGCCUGCCUGCUCAACGGAUGGCUCUGGAUACGCAGAUAAGACACACGUCACUCAAACAGCCCGCUCAUCUGCUCUGCAACACUAGGUCUGCUCCAACCAGCGACUUUGCUCAACUCUGCAUUACACAUCCACUCAGCUGGGUAGUUUGUCAGUGCACUUAUUCUUACACACAUGUUGGUGUUGAGCACGUAUAGAUCUCAAUGGCCCAUCUCCUUUCUUUCAAGGCCAGGGCCCAGAUUCACUAAACACUUCUUACGCAUAACCAUAAGGUUCCUCAGAAGGAAAAUAUGUUCAUAAGAUAGUUUAAGUGUAAUUCCUCAACAAUAUCUUCUUACAAAUCUUCAUUUCUUGGCAACUUAUCUAGCUAGCAAUGGCAAUCAUGUUAGCAUAUUUCUUACUGAGAUUACUGUUCUAAAACAUGUUAUUGGGUUUAAAAUGAUCAAUACUGAAACUUUCAGAUGAAGUUUGUGUGAAUUAAACUGCUUUCAUGAGCUUUUUCUCUCACUGCCCAGAGUUUAAGACAAGGGUUUAGCUAACUUGGAAUUAAGAACCACAUUUCUUCUUAAGGAGAAAUAGAGAAAGAAAAUGUCCAAUAACCUUUUGAGGAAUAACAACUUUGCUUAACUUUCUUCUUAAGUCUAUAGUUAAGGUUCUGUGAAUCUGGGCCCAGGAGAGGAAGCUAUUUCGGCAACUGUUAAGGUAGGGCCUUAGGACUAUGAUGAUAAAAUGAAGGUGUUGAGCAUUAGUGGUGUGCAUAGGUCACAAAUAUGGACUAAGUUGAUUGUCAAGGUGGAUGCUGGCAUAUUUCAACAUUAUCAGGGAUUGAUCCAUGUCAUGUUUGCCUAAAGGAUUGGCCAUCUCUGUGACUUGAACAGCUAGUGUUUACCAUGGUUGGAGGUGGUGAUAGGAAAUGAUAGUGUUACUGCGGAGGCUUCUAUAUUGUUUUAGUUGAGAUGGAUAAUCAGAUUUACGUCAUAGGUCUGUCAACACAGUUUGUGUAAACUUAACAUUUCAAUCUAGUUGGUAACCACUGGUGGAAUGCCAUGAGUCAGUUGGUAACUGGUCCAAAGUAUCUAGUAUAGUAUGAUUUACUUGGAACUCUUCAGACUUAGAAGCCUAAAUUGUAAUCCGUUUCAGACAGUACAUGGGUAAUAAGGUCCUUCUGUAAGGCCUCUAUUUAAUCGAGACAUGUCUGCGUUUGAAUGCCUGUGACAUGAAGUGCUUUGAAGUUGGCUGCCUCAGUGACUGAUCUUUUCCAGACCAGUUUAUACUAUGAAAUUAUAUGUUUCUCAGAAGUCAAAUGACAUUAACCAUGAAUGUAAACUGAACACUAAUUUAUUACAUGGGGUUUCUUGUUCUUUUUCCAUUUUUGAAGUUGUACUGGGUUUUCAAUAAAUUAAAUAUAAAUGUUGA